ensembl:snRNA U6 U6 spliceosomal RNA
CGGCUUCCGCAGCACAUAUACUAAAAUUGGAACAACACAGAGAAGAUUAGCAUGACCCCUGUGCAAGAAUGACACACAAAUUUGUGAAGUGUUCUAUAUUUUU